rnacentral:rRNA from 1 species
UACGGGGGGGGCAAGCGUUGUUCGGAAUUACUGGGCGUAAAGGGCUUGUAGGUGGCCAACUAAGUCAGCCGUGAAAUCCCUCGGCUUAACCGGGGAACUGCGUCUGAUACUGGAUGGCUGGAGUGUGGGAGAGGGAUGCGGAAUUCCAGGUGUAGCGGUGAAAUGCGUAGAUAUCUGGAGGAACACCGGUGGCGAAGGCGGCAUCCUGGACCAUUACUGACACUGAAAAGCGAAAGCCAGGGGAGCAAACGGG